GUGAUUCUGUGACCUGAUCCUUCUGUCUCCCUUCCAACUUGGGAUGAUCUGUGAUUCUGUGGCAGUCCUGUGUGCAUUUGCAGGCAUAAAACAAGGUCCUGUUUGAAGUAUUUUCUCCUCUUUAAUGUAAAAAUCCAUGUAAAAUAUAUAGAAAUGAUGUGGGAAAAAUGUAAUCAUAGCACAGAAUAGCAAGUAAAAGGGGAAUUCUGACUCAGUUGUGGGAACGUGAAGAGAGAUGUAUAUGCCCACCAGGAAGGAAAUGUCAGGGAGGGUUGUAGCAGAGCAGCAACAGCAUGCUGUGCAACCUGAGUGGGCUGUUAGUCAUGCAGGAGGAGCUUUUUGUCAUGCAUAUUUAAAACCAGGUAUGUUUGAUGAAGCACUAUAUGAUGAAAAUGUUCUCUUCGUGAAGUCAGAAGAAAUGCCUACCUCUUUCCCUUCUGAAGAUGCAAAAGCUGGGUGUUUGAUCAGGCAAUCACAACUGUGUCCUGCAGAACCACAAUGAUCAAUGAAUAAGGAAAUGCUGUGUCGGAUAACAUACCCAACAUGCCUAAGCAAAGUGAAGAGAGCCCACGAAUACUGCAUGGAACUGGUGCUUUUUCAAUUAGAAAAAUCUUUUACUGUGAAGGUGUCUUGGGGAACCUUAGGAGAGAAUACAGCUGGAACAUGCCACGGGUGGUCUGCUCAUCACUUAGAAUGACACUUGUUUUAAAUACUCCUUGCUGGGAAUAAAGUCAACAGAAAAAUGUUAUGCUGGGUGAAACGGGACGCUGACAAGCCUGGAGUAUGUCUCAGUGGAAGAAAAGGAGCUAAUCAUUAUAAGAACUCCCAUUAUUUAGGAAGUACACUACUCAAAAUGAAUUCAGCUUUUUGAUGACAAGUGAUUUCUCUCACCCCAAGGAGCAUUUCAGAGUGUCCACACAACCACCUGCAUGAACCCCAGGAGGUGAAGGUAUGGGACCCUCCUUUCAGCUGUGGUACAGGAUGAGACAGUAAAACAGAAGUCAGAGGCACCCAGUAUGGAGAACAGUGGGCUGGCCAGGACAACAUUGAUCCAUCUGUCUGAGAACUUUCCUGUAUAUCCUCCAGGGAGAGAAUGUACCACACUCAGGCCUGUCUGAACUGUGAUCUCAGCUGCAAGAGACAGAACAAGGACUGAACAGGGAACUGGGUGAAAUAAAGUCAACCUAAACUGAUGGGUUAAUUAA